AGGUUGGCUUGGAAGCAGCCAUCCUUUAAAGAAAGCGUAACAGCUCACUUGUCUAAAUAAGUUUUUCUGCGCCGAAAAUGUACCGGGGCUAAAGCUGUAUACCGAAGAUGUGGGUGCUUAUUAAUUUCGAUUAAUAGGCGCGGUAGCGGAGCGUUCCGUAAGUCUGUGAAGGUGGUUUGUAAAAACUGCUGGAGAUAUCGGAAGUGAGAAUGCUGACAUAAGUAGCGUAAAAGAGUGUGAAAAACACUCUCACCAAAAAUCUAAGGGUUCCUACGUUAAGUUAAUCUGCGUAGGGUUAGUCGGUUCCUAAGGCGAGUCCGUAAAGGAGUAGUCGAUGGCAAUUAGGUUAAUAUUCCUAAACCUCUUAAGUGUGACGGGUUUUGUAUUUGUAUAGGUCUUAUUGGAUUGAUCUAUGCUUAAAAGAAGCUCCAGGAAAUAGCACUUAUAUUUAUGAGGCCGUACCGUAAACCGACACUGGUGGAUGAGUAGAGUAUACUAAGGUGUUGAAAGAAUGAUGUUGAAGGAACUCGGCAAAUUAUACCUGUAACUUCGGAAGAAGGGUAACCUGCUUUUAGGCAACUAUAAGUAGGUGGCACAAAAUAGGGAGUAGCGACUGUUUACUAAAAACACAGGACUCUGCAAACACGUAAGUGGAAGUAUAGGGUCUGACGCCUGCCCGGUGCUGGAAGGUUAAUAGGAGGGGUGCAAGCUCUGAAUUGAAGCCCCAGUAAACGGCGGCCGUAACACUGACGGUCCUAAGGUAGCGAAAUUCCUUGUCGGGUAAGUUCCGACCCGCACGAAUGGCGUAACGAUUUCUCCACUGUCUCCAACAUCACUUCAGCGAAAUUGAAUUCCCCGUGCAGAUGCGGGGUACCCGCGGUUAGACGAAGAGACCCCGUGCACCUUUACUAUAGCUUUACAUUGCUAUUAAAAGUGUGAUGUGCAGGAUAGGUGGGAGACUUUGAAGUUAUGGCGCUAGCUAUAAUGGAGUUAACCUUGAGAUACCACCCUUUACACUUUUGAUAUCUAACUAUGUUUCAUUAUCUGGAACUAGGACAUUGUAUGGUGGGUAGUUUGACUGGGGCGGUCGCCUCCUAAAAAGUAACGGAGGCGUGCGAAGGUAAGCUAGAGCUGGUCGGAAAUCAGCUUGAUAGUACAAUGGCAUAAGCUUGCCUGACUGCGAGGCUGACAAGCCAAGCAGAGACGAAAGUCGGUCAUAGUGAUCCGGUAAUUCUGUAUGGAAGGGUUAUCGCUCAACGGAUAAAAGGUACGCCGGGGAUAACAGGCUGAUGGUGUUCGAGAGUUCAUAUCGACGACACCGUUUGGCACCUCGAUGUCGACUCAUCACAUCCUGGGGCUGGAGAAGGUCCCAAGGGUUCGGCUGUUCGCCGAUUAAAGUGUUACGUGAGUUGGGUUUAGAACGUCGUGAGACAGUUCGGUUUCUAUCUGCCGUGGGUGAAGGAAAUUUGAGAAGAUCUGACUCUAGUACGAGAGGACCGAGAUGUAUAUACCUCUGGUGUACCAGCUGUUAUGCCAAUAGCAUCGCUGGGUAGCUAUGUAUAGAUGGGAUAAUUGCUGAAAGCAUAUAAGCAAGAAACCCUCUUCAAAAAAAUUUCCCAAUUAAGGCCGUGGGAGACUACCACGUUGAUAGGCUAGGUGUAGAAGCAUGGUAACAUGU
rnacentral:rRNA from 1 species